GAUGAAGAACGUAGCGAAAUGCGAUACGUAAUGUGAAUUGCAGAAUUCAGUGAAUCAUCGAAUCUUUGAACGCAUAUUGCGCUCUCUGGUAUUCCGGAGAGCAUGCUUGUUUGAGUAUCAGUAAACACCUCAACUUCCAUAUCUUUUUUUGAAAUGGGAGUUGGACUUGAGUGAUCCCAACGCUUUUCCUCACCGAAAAGUGGCGGGUUACUUGAAAUGCAGGUGCAGCUGGACUUUUCUCUGAGCUAUAAGCAUAUCUAUUUAGUCUGCCUAAAAAACAGAUUAUUACCUUUGCUGCAGCUAACAUAAAGGAGAUUAGUUCUUGUGCUGACUGAUGCAGGAUUCACAAAGACAGCUUCGGCCGACUUUGUGAACUCGAUCUCAAAUCAAGUAAGACUACCCGCUGAACUUAAGCAUAUCAAUAAGCGGAGG
rnacentral:misc_RNA from 1 species